rnacentral:misc_RNA from 1 species
CACCAUCUGAAAGCUCCUAAUCACGUCUGGAUGUGUUCCCGGUGGAAAACCAGAGUACCCAUAUGAGUACUCACCCUGGCCAUAUCCUGCCGCAUAAGAAGGCGGCGGCUGAUGCUGCUGCCGCCGCCUGUCGUCACUUGGAGGAGGAGGGAAACUAUUGUAAGCGUGGUCCUGCUGGUUAUAAGACUCGGUCAGGGAUGGAGCAGAGGGGGCAUAGGACUGCUGAGAUGAG